rnacentral:lncRNA from 1 species
UAAGAGAAACAUAGCAAAUAGCAUGAGCAACUCUCUUAGUGCACUCUAGCUUCUCAAAGCCUAUCAAGACUCUUUUAUCUCUACACAAGUUGUGAUGCCAUUCAACCAACAAGUUCCUUAUCCAACCCUCACAUUGAUUCAAACACACACACACAAGUGAAUUCUUGCAAAUGGAUAUUUGAUCUCAAUCAUUUGGCUUGAUGAGAGAAGAUGGUCUAAUGUUUAGAAAAAAUGGGUUUCAAAUGCAUUUUUUUAUAGUGACUCACACUCAAGAAUAGGAGCAAGAUCAUUAUGCAAAAUUUAUCUAAGAAAAGGAGCAAUUCAUGCAUACAAUGCCUUGUUCUCAUCAUUCUACCCUUUGCCUAGAUGAUUUCAAGUUCUACCCCUUCUUUUCUCUCUCACUCAACACUCUUUUCUCUCUUUUGAUUUAACCCAACUAGGGACAUUUUACUUUCAUAUCUCACUCAACACUCUUUUCUCUCUUUUGAUUUAACCCAACUAGGGACAUUUUACUUUCAUAUCUCACUCAACACUCUUUUCUCUCUUUUGAUUUAACCCAACUAGGGACAUUUUACUUUCAUAUCUCACUCAACACUCUUUUCUCUCUUUUGAUUUAACCCAACUAGGGAUAUUUUACUUUGAAUUUAAACUUUUAGAUCUUUUUGACUCAGCUCUUUUCUUUUCUUUUCCCCACUCA